rnacentral:rRNA from 1 species
ACUCCUACGGGAGGCAGCAGUGGGGAAUAUUGCACAAUGGGGGAAACCCUGAUGCAGCCAUGCCGCGUGUGUGAAGAAGGCCUUGGUUGUAAAGCACUUUCAGUAGGGAGGAAGGUAGUGUAGUUAACACCUGCACUAUUUGACGUUACCUACAGAAGAAGCACCGGCUAACUCCGUGCCAGCAGCCGCGGUAAUACGGAGGGGUGCGAGCGUUAAUCGGAAUUACUGGGCGUAAAGCGCAUGCAGGCGGCCUGUUAAGUCAGAUGUGAAAGCCCGGGGGCUUAACCUCGGAAUAGCAUUUGAAACUGGCAGACUAGAGUACUGUAGAGGGGGUAGGAAUUUCAGGUGUAGCGGUGAAAUGCGUAGAGAUCUGAAGGAAUACCGGUGGCGAAGGCGGCCCCCUGGACAGAUACUGACACUCAGAUGCGAAAGCGUGGGGAGCGAAACAGGAUUAGAUACCCUGGUAGCUACGAG